rnacentral:tRNA from 1 species
CCAGCAGAAGCUAAAAGAGGUAAAGAAUCUGUAUGCAAAACAGGAGACCCUGGUUCUAUUCCGGGCUCUGGA